rnacentral:rRNA from 1 species
UGUUGGGUUAAGUCCCGCAACGAGCGCAACCCUUGAUCUUAGUUGCCAUCAUUUAGUUGGGCACUCUAAGGUGACUGCCGGUGACAAACCGGAGGAAGGUGGGGAUGACGUCAAAUCAUCAUGCCCCUUAUGACCUGGGCUACACACGUGCUACAAUGGUCGCAAAGAGCUGCAAGACCGCGAGGUGGAUUUAAACUUUAAAAAACCGUUCUCAGUUCGGAUGUAGGCUGCAACUCGCCACAGAAGCUGAUCGCUAACAGUAUUAAAGGUUGGUU